UCUAGGUGCUGUCUGAUCCUUUAACUGACUGCAUCAUUCCAACAAUGUACUGGUUAGCGGUCCUUACCCUGAUCACACUCUCCUGGACAUGUUGCAGGUCACAGCCCAGCCUGUCUCAGCCUCCCACACAGUCUGUCACACUGGGACAAACAGCCAAACUGACCUGCACAGUGAGUGGGGGCAGCAUUAGUAGUUACUUAGUGUCCUGGUACCAGCAGCGACCUGGGACUGCUCCGCGAUACCUUCUGUACUACUACAGUGACUCUAUCAAAGAUCAUGGAACUGGGAUUCCUAAUCGGUUCUCAGGAUCUAAGGACAACUCUCAGAACAUCUGCUAUUUAACUAUCUCUGGUGUCCAGACAGAGGAUGAAGCUGAUUAUUACUGUGCUACAUGGGAUGGUAGCUCUAACUCAUACACAGUGAUACAGUUACAGGGGGAACUGAAACAGAAACUCUCUGCAUCACCAGGUCUGUGUGCACAGCUGCAUUAA